GAGCCGAGGAAGGUCAACAUAAGCUUCAAAUAUACUCAUAGGCCGAUGGACAAAUCACAACUGGUCGAGAAAGCAAAUCCUGAGGAAAGUUUCUCUACUGGUCGGUCGGAAGCAAAUAUUGCAAGUCAAAUCCCUCCACCAAAAGGUGAAGAAAACAGUGGGGUCCUCUAACUCACAGUUGGGUGAGAAAUCAAAUUUGAGGAGCGAGAUAAAGAGUUUCGGGAGAUGUAGUUGAGUCAUGGUAACAUGCUGAUGAGGACAUUUGUGCAGUCCGUUCCCACGCCUAACAAAUGGGUGGUGCCCAGAAUCACGGCUCAGCCGAUUGAGAUGUGCUUGUGUGUCAAUUUUGGAUGAUUUCUUGUAUUGGACAAGUUUGUGUUUUUUCCUUUUUUUUUGUAAUGGAGAGUUUGUAUUGGUUAUGGGGUUUAUAUAGUGAGGAUGAUUUGGUUUACAACUUUCACAUAUUGUUUAAACGGUUUUUACCUUCCCUUUUAUUAACUCUGUUUGAAGUAAUAUUUCAGUAUGAUGAA